AUAAAUAAGCGGAGGAAAAGAAACCAAACGGGAUUCCCUUAGUAACGGCGAGCGAAAAGGGAAAAGUCCAGCGCCAAGUCUUGACAUGUAAGGUGUUCAAGAGAUGCGGCGUUAAUGUGUCGCUACAUCGCACAUUGUUCCACGUUUCAAGUUCCUACGACCGGGACUUCCAGAGCGGGUGUAAGACCCAUAGAGACGAGGAACCAGUGUGUGCUAGYGAUGUAUUCUAGAGUCAGGUUGCUUGAGAGUGCAGCUUAAAGUCGGUGGUAAACUCCAUCCAAGACUAAAUAUUACAGCGAGACCGAUAGCAAACAAGUACCGUGAGGGAAAGUUGCAAAGCACUUUGAAGAGAGAGUUCAAAAGUACGUGAAACCACUGGGAGGCAAACAGAUGGAACCACGAAGUGUGCGCCUCGGUCGAUUCAAUCAUCACUUUUGGUCAGUUGUCAUUGAUCAGGAUCUCUUCGGAGGUUGRUCUGUGGCGAUUACGACUGGAGGUGUUGGUGCAUUUCGUGCCGGGGAUGCUAAGCCACGUUCAACUAGAGUUGGGACGGCUGUAAGACAGGACCCGAGAAAGGUGGCCGUCAAGUGCUCGCAUUUGACGGUGUUAUAGGCUUGGGUCGGCACCGUCGCCUAACAUACUGGUUGAUGCAAGUUCUCCGUUUGGAGUUGAACUGUGACUGCCUGUGGCCGUUAGUCGGUGUUGCGUGCUGUUCUUUGCGUAUCUUUCGAUGCGAAAAGACUGUGCAAAGAUGUCGGCUAGUGGYUGCUUGCGUGUUACGGUGGAACUGUGGCGCGAGUAGGUCGGUCUCCAUCUGACCCGUCUUGAAACACGGACCAAGGAGCCUAUCAUAUACGCGAGUCGCUCGGUCUUGUUUAGGCCUGGGAGGCGGAAUGAAAGUAAAGUUACGAGGCUUCGGCCGCAGUAACGGCUCGCCCACUUCGUUUAUUGGCGAUCUGGCGAAGCUGGAGCGUAUACGAUGGUACCCGAAAGAUGGUGAACUAUGCCUGGGCAAGACGAAGCCAGAGGAAACUCUGGUGGAGGUCUGUAGCGAUUCUGACGUGCAAAUCGAUCGUCAGACCUGGGUAUAGGGGCGAAAGACUAAUCGAACCAUCUAGUAGCUGGUUCCCUCCGAAGUUUCCCUCAGGAUAGCAGGCGUUCAUUUGUUCAGCAGUCUCAUCCGGUAAAGCUAAUGAUUAGAGGUCUUGGGGUUGAAACGACCUCAACCUAUUCUCAAACUUUAAAUGGGUGAGAUGGUUGACUUUCUUGAUUGAAGCCAACCAUUUGGAUGCGAGUGCCUAGUGGGCCAUUUUUGGUAAGCAGAACUGGCGCUGUGGGAUGAACCAAACGUCGAGAUAAGGCAUCAAAUGCGUACGCUCAUCAGACCCCAUGAAAGGUGUUGGUUGCUAUAGACAGCAGGACGGUGGCCAUGGAAGUCGGAAUCCGCUAAGGAGUGUGUAACAACUCACCUGCCGAAGCAACUAGCCCUGAAAAUGGACGAUGCUGUAGCGUGGAGCCGAUACUCGACCGUUAUGAUGAUUUUGAAGAGGAUGCGAUAUCAUAACGAGUAGGAGGGCCGCAGUGUUAGCGUUGAAGGUGUCCGGCGUGAGCCGGCCUGGAGCUAUCAUUGUU
rnacentral:rRNA from 1 species